GACGAACGCUGGCGGCGUGCUUAACACAUGCAAGUCGAACGGAAAGGCCCUGCUUUUGUGGGGUGCUCGAGUGGCGAACGGGUGAGUAACACGUGAGUAACCUGCCCUUGACUUUGGGAUAACUUCAGGAAACUGGGGCUAAUACCGGAUAGGAGCUCCUGCUGCAUGGUGGGGGUUGGAAAGUUUCGGCGGGUGGGGAUGGACUCGCGGCUUAUCAGCUUGUUGGUGGGGUAGUGGCUUACCAAGGCUUUGACGGGUAGCCGGCCUGAGAGGGUGACCGGGCACAUUGGGACUGCGGGACGGCCCAGACUGCUACGGGAGGCAGCAGUGGGGAAUAUUGCACAAUGGGAGGAAGUCUGAUGCGGCAACGCCGCGUGCGGGAUGACGGCCUUCGGGUUGUGAAACGCUUUCGGCUGUGACGAAGCGUGAGUGACGGUAAUGGGUAAAGAAGCACCGGCUAACUACGUG
rnacentral:rRNA from 1 species